AGUGAACGCUGGCGGUAGGCCUAACACAUGCAAGUCGAACGGCAGCACAGUAAGAGCUUGCCCUUACGGGUGGCGAGUGGCGGACGGGUGAGGAAUACAUCGGAAUCUACUUUUUCGUGGGGGAUAAUGUAGGGAAACUUACGCUAAUACCGCAUACGACCUACGGGUGAAAGCAGGGGAUCUUCGGACCUUGCGCGAUUGAAUGAGCCGAUGUCGGAUUAGCUAGUUGGCGGGGUAAAGGCCCACCAAGGCGACGAUCCGUAGCUGGUCUGAGAGGAUGAUCAGCCACACUGGAACUGAGACACGGUCCAGACUCCUACGGGAGGCAGCAGUGGGGAAUAUUGGACAAUGGGCGCAAGCCUGAUCCAGCCAUACCGCGUGGGUGAAGAAGGCCUUCGGGUUGUAAAGCCCUUUUGUUGGGAAAGAAAAGCAGCAGGUUAAUACCCCGCUGUUCUGACGGUACCCAAAGAAUAAGCACCGGCUAACUUCGUG
rnacentral:rRNA from 1 species